UACGUAGGUGGCAAGCGUUAUCCGGAAUUACUGGGUGUAAAGGGCGUGUAGGCGGGAGUGUAAGUCAGAUGUGAAAUUCCACUGCUCAACGGUGGCGCUGCAUCUGAAACUAUACUUCUUGAGUACUGGAGAGGAAAGUGGAAUUCCUAGUGUAGCGGUGAAAUGCGUAGAUAUUAGGAGGAACACCAGUGGCGAAGGCGGCUUUCUGGACAGUAACUGACGCUGAGGCGCGAAAGCGUGGGGAGCAAACAGG
rnacentral:rRNA from 1 species